rnacentral:tRNA from 1 species
GCCGCGAUAGCUCAAUUGGAUAGAGCGUUGGACUUCUAAUCCAGAGGCUCGGGGUUCGAUUCCCCGUCGCGGUGC